CCCGCUGAACUUAAGCAUAUCAAUAAGCGGAGGAAAAGAAACCAACAGGGAUUGCCCCAGUAACGGCGAGUGAAGCGGCAACAGCUCAAAUUUGAAAUCUGGCCCCUAGGGCCCGAGUUGUAAUUGUGUAGAGGAUGCUUUUGGUGAGGUGCCGCCCGAGUUCCCUGAAACGGGACGCCGCAGAGGGUGAGAGCCCCGGCUGGAUGGCCUCCGAGCCUCUGUAAAGCUCCUUCCACGAGUCGAGUAGUUUGGGAAUGCUGCUCAAAAUGGGAGGUAUAUGUCUUCUAAAGCUAGAUAUUGGCCAGAGACCGAUAUGCGCACACAGUAGAGUGAUCGAAAGAUGAAAAGCACCUUGAAAAGAGGGUUAGACAGUACGUGAAAUAGUUGAAAGGGAAGCGCUUGUGUCCAGACUUGGACGCGGCGAAUCAUCCGGGGUUCUCUCCGGUGCACUUCGCCGUGUUCAGGCCAGCAUCAGUUCGGCGCGGGGGAAAAAGGCUUCGGGAACGUGGCUGCUCCGGCAGGGUUAUAGCCCGGUGCAUAAUACCCUGCGCUGGACUGAAGACCGCGCAUCUGCAAGGAUGCUGGCGUAAUGGUCACCAGCGACCCGUCUUGAAACACGG
rnacentral:rRNA from 1 species